GCUCGAGUGGCAACGGGUGAGUAACACGUGAGUAACCUGCCCUUGACUUUGGGAUAACUUCAGGAAACUGGGGCUAAUACCGGAUAGGAGCUCCUGCUGCAUGGUGGGGGUUGGAAAGUUUCGGCGGUUGGGGAUGGACUCGCGGCUUAUCAGCUUGUUGGUGGGGUAGUGGCUUACCAAGGCUUUGACGGGUAGCCGGCCUGAGAGGGUGACCGGCCACAUUGGGACUGAGAUACGGCCCAG
rnacentral:rRNA from 1 species